rnacentral:rRNA from 1 species
UACGUAGGGUGCAAGCGUUGUCCGGAAUUACUGGGCGUAAAGAGCUCGUAGGUGGUUUGUCGCGUCGUCUGUGAAAUCCCGGGGCUUAACUUCGGGCGUGCAGGCGAUACUGGCAUAACUUGAGUGCUGUAGGGGAGACUGGAAUUCCUGGUGUAGCGGUGAAAUGCGCAGAUAUCAGGAGGAACACCGAUGGCGAAGGCAGGUCUCUGGGCAGUUACUGACGCUGAGGAGCGAAAGCAUGGGUAGCGAACAGGAUUAGA